rnacentral:rRNA from 1 species
GGGUGUAAAGGGCGCGUAGGCGGCGCGGUAAGUCACUUGUGAAAUCUCUGAGCUUAACUCAGAACGGCCAAGUGAUACUGCUGUGCUAGAGUGCGGAAGAGGCAACCGGAAUUCUUGGUGUAGCGGUGAAAUGCGUAGAUAUCAAGAGGAACACCUGAGGCGAAGGCGGGUUGCUGGGCCGACACUGACGCUGAUGCGCGAAAGCCAGGGGAGCAAACGGGAUUAGAUACCCCGGUAGUCCUGGCCCUAAACGAUGAAUACUUGGUGUCUGGAGUUUCAAUGCUCCGGGUGCCGUCGCUAACGUUUUAAGUAUUCCGCCUGGGGAGUACGCUCGCAAGAGUGAAACU